AUUGAACGCUGGCGGCAUGCCUUACACAUGCAAGUCGAACGGUAACAGGUCUUCGGAUGCUGACGAGUGGCGAACGGGUGAGUAAUACAUCGGAACGUGCCCGAGAGUGGGGGAUAACGAAGUGAAAGCUUUGCUAAUACCGCAUACGAUCUCAGGAUGAAAGCAGGGGACCGCAAGGCCUUGCGCUCACGGAGCGGCCGAUGGCAGAUUAGGUAGGUGGUGGGAUAAAAGCUUACCAAGCCGACGAUCUGUAGCUGGUCUGAGAGGACGACCAGCCACACUGGGAAUGGGACACGGCGCAGACACCUACGGGAGGCAGCAGUGGGGAGUUUUGGACAAUGGGCGCAAGCCUGAUCCAGCCAUGCCGCGUGCAGGAUGAAGGCCUUCGGGUUGUAAACUGCUUUUGUACGGAACGAAAAGACUCCUUCUAAUAAAGGGGGUCCAUGACGGUACCGUAAGAAUAAGCACCGGCUAACUACGUGCCAGCAGCCGCAGUAAUAC
rnacentral:rRNA from 1 species